AGUUAUAAUACACAGUCUGACAGUGAUAAUACACAGUGUAAAAGUGAUAAUACACAGUCUAUCAGUAAUAAUACACAGUGUAACAGUGAUAAUACACGGUGUAACAGUGAUAAUACACAGUGUAACAGUGAUAAUACACGGUGUAACAGUGAUAAUACACAGUCUAUCAGUUAUAAUACACAGUCUGACAGUGAUAAUACACGGUGUAACAGUGAUAAUACACAGUCUGACAGUGAUAAU